CAGCGGCCUGCUGCUUUCAAUGAGCUAGUCUCUACCUGUAGCCUGGCACAGAU
rnacentral:snoRNA from 1 species